AGAGAGUGCGAACGUUGUUCGGAAUUACUGGGCUUAAAGCGCACGUAGGCGGCGUCGUAAGUGUCAGGUGAAAUCCCACGGCUCACCCGUGGAACUGCCUGGCAGACUGCGAUGCUCGAGUGUGGUAGGGGAGAGCGGAACUCCUGGUGGAGCGGUGAAAUGCGUAGAUAUCAGGAGGAACACCGGUGGCGAAGGCGGCUCUCUGGUCCACAACUGACGCUGAGGUGCGAAAGCUAGGGGAGCAAACGGGAUUAGAUACCCCGGUAGUCCUAGCUGUAAACGAUGGGCACUAGCUUGGGGUCUCCCUGUGUGAUCCCAGGUGAAGUAAAAAUGAUAAGUGCCCCGCCUGGGGAGUAUGGUCGCAAGGCUG
rnacentral:rRNA from 1 species